GCCGGAAUGCUUCCGUGGAGAGAGUA
rnacentral:tRNA from 1 species